AGCAGCCGCGGUAAUUCCAGCUCCAAUAGCGUGUAUUAAAGUUGUUGCAGUUAAAAAGCUCGUAGUUGAAUUUCGGGAUCGACGGGUCGGUCGCGCCUCUGGUGUGUACUGGCCCUGUCGGUUUCUCCCUUCUGAAGAACCGCGAUGUCAUUAAUUUGAUGUCGUGGGAAAUCAGGACUGUUACUUUGAAAAAAUUAGAGUGUUUAAAGCAGGCAUUCGCUUGAAUACAUUAGCAUGGAAUAAUGAAAUAGGACGUUUGAUCUUAUUUUGUUGGUUUCUAAGAUCGACGUAAUGAUUAAUAGGGAUAGUUGGGGGCAUUAGUAUUCAAUUGUCAGAGGUGAAAUUCUUGGAUUUAUUGAAGACUAACUACUGCGAAAGCAUUUGCCAAGGAUGUUUUCAUUAAUCAAGAACGAAAGUUAGGGAUCGAAGACGAUCAGAUACCGUCGUAGUCUUAACCAUAAACUAUGCCGACUAGGGAUCGGAUGAUGUUAUUUUUAAUGUACUCAUUCGGCGCCUUACG
rnacentral:rRNA from 1 species